rnacentral:rRNA from 1 species
UACGUAGGGGGCAAGCGUUGUCCGGAUUUAUUGGGCGUAAAGAGCGUGUAGGCGGCCAGACAGGUCCGUUGUGAAAACUGGAGGCUCAACCUCCAGACGUCGAUGGAAACCGCCUGGCUAGAGUCCGGAAGAGGAGAGUGGAAUUCCUGGUGUAGCGGUGAAAUGCGCAGAUAUCAGGAAGAACACCCGUGGCUAAGGCGGCUCUCUAGUACGGUACUGACGCUGAGACGCGAAAGCGUGGGGAGCGAACAGG